rnacentral:lncRNA from 1 species
UCAAUUCAUCACACAGAAUUCAAUAUCUUUACUUAACACAAUACAAUUCGAUAAUUUCAAUUCUCAAGGUCACAAAUUUUCUCCAAAACGGUCAAUCCAAAGUCAUAUUCCAUAAUAUUUUAAUCAUAGUUUCAACAAUACUUCUCUCAAUCACAAUUCUUCAUAAGCAAAUAAUAAAAUCAAAUAAAACAAAGAGGUAGCACCAAGCUUACCUUGGCU